rnacentral:rRNA from 1 species
AGAGUUUGAUUCUGGCUCAGGAUGAACGCUAGCGACAGGCCUAACACAUGCAAGUCGAGGGGCAGCGCGGAGUAGCAAUACUUGGCGGCGACCGGCGCACGGGUGAGUAACACGUAUGCAACCAACCCAUAACAGGGGGAUAACCCGGAGAAAUCCGGACUAAUACCGCAUAAGACCACGAUAUCGCACGAUAUAGAGGUCAAAUAUUUAGUAGGUUAUGGACGGGCGUGCGUCUGAUUAGCUGGUUGGCGGGUAACGGCCCACCAAGGCAUCGAUCAGUAGGGGUUCUGAGAGGAAGGUCCCCCACAUUGGAACUGAGACACGGUCCAAACUCCUACGGGAGGCAGCAGUGAGGAAUAUUGGUCAAUGGGCGAAAGCCUGAACCAGCCAUGUCGCGUGAAGGAAUGAAGGUCCUAUGGAUUGUAAACUUCUUUUGCAGGAGGGUAAAGUGAGCUACGUGUAGUUCAUUGCAAGUACCCUGCGAAUAAGCAUCGGCUAACUCCGUGCCAGCCGCUGC